AUUGAACGCUGGCGGCAGGCCUAACACAUGCAAGUCGAACGGUAACAGGAAGCAGCUUGCUGCUUUGCUGACGAGUGGCGGACGGGUGAGUAAUGUCUGGGAAACUGCCCGAUGGAGGGGGAUAACUACUGGAAACGGUAGCUAAUACCGCAUAACGUCGCAAGACCAAAGAGGGGGACCUUAGGGCCUCUUGCCAUCGGAUGUGCCCAGACGGGAUUAGCUAGUAGGUGGGGUAACGGCUCACCUAGGCGACGAUCCCUAGCUGGUCUGAGAGGAUGACCAGCCACACUGGAACUGAGACACGGUCCAGACUCCUACGGGAGGCAGCAGUGGGGAAUAUUGCACAAUGGGCGCAAGCCUGAUGCAGCCAUGCCGCGUGUAUGAAGAAGGCCUUCGGGUUGUAAAGUACUUUCAGCGGGGAGGAAGGGAGUAAAGUUAAUACCUUUGCUCAUUGACGUUACCCGCAGAAGAAGCACCGGCUAACUCCGUG
rnacentral:rRNA from 1 species